rnacentral:rRNA from 1 species
CCUACGGGAGGCAGCAGUGAGGAAUAUUGGUCAAUGGUCGUAAGCCUGAACCAGCCAAGCCGCGUGAGGGAUGAAGGUUCUAUGGAUCGUAAACCUCUUUUGUAAGGGAAUAAAGUGCGGGACGUGUCCCGUUUUGUAUGUACCUUAUGAAUAAGGAUCGGCUAACUCCGUGCCAGCAGCCGCGGUAAUACGGAGGAUCCGAGCGUUAUCCGGAUUUCUUGGGUUUAAAGGGUGCGUAGGCGGCCUGUUAAGUCAGCGGUGAAAGUCUGGGGCUCAACCCUAGAAUUGCCGUUGAAACUGGCAGGCUUGAGUAUGUUUGAGGCAGGCGGAAUGCGUGGUGUAGCGGUGAAAUGCUUAGAUAGCACGCAGAACCCCGAUUGCGAAGGCAGCCUGCCAAGCCAUGACUGACGCUGAUGCACGAAAGCGUGGGGAUCAAACAGGAUUAGAUACCCGAGUAGUC